UCUACGGGUGGCAGCAGUGGGGAAUAUUGGACAAUGGGCGCAAGCCUGAUCCAGCCAUGCCGCGUGUGUGAAGAAGGCCUUCGGGUUGUAAAGCACUUUCAGUGGGGAAGAAAGCCUUGGGGCUAAUACCCUCGAGGAAGGACAUCACCCACAGAAGAAGCACCGGCUAACUCCGUGCCAGCAGCCGCGGGAAUACGGAGGGUGCGAGCGUUAAUCGGAAUUACUGGGCGUAAAGCGCGCGUAGGCGGUCUGAUAAGCCGGUUGUGAAAGCCCCGGGCUCAACCUGGGAACGGCAUCCGGAACUGUCAGGCUAGAGUGCAGGAGAGGAAGGUAGAAUUCCCGGUGUAGCGGUGAAAUGCGUAGAGAUCGGGAGGAAUACCAGUGGCGAAGGCGGCCUUCUGGACUGACACUGACGCUGAGGUGCGAAAGCGUGGGUAGCAAACAGGAUUAGAUACCCCGGUAGUC
rnacentral:rRNA from 1 species